rnacentral:lncRNA from 1 species
CCUAUGAGUCGACCCCUGUGCAUGACCUUAUGAGUCGACCUCUACUGCUGUAUAGGCUAAAAUUAUAAAACAGUCAUUUUCUAUUCUGUGCCACAGAAGUCGAUCCCAUGAGUCGACUCAUGUGCAUGAGUCGACUCUUGUGACGGAAAAAUUCUACAACGGCUAGUUUUUAGCUCAUUUUGGCUGCAUUUAAUGCCUAUUUAAUGUGCUCCAAUGGCUCUAUUUUAGCCCAGAUUACUCUCCACCAUCAUUUGAAGUUAUAAAAGGCACUUAAAGGAGGGAAUCAAUAAGAUGGUGAGGUUCUUCAAGCAUUCAUUUCAGCCCU